rnacentral:rRNA from 1 species
CACCGCGGGUAUUGCCUUAGUUACGGCGAGUGAAGCGGCAAAAGCUCAAAUUUUGAAAUCUGGCACCUUCGGUGUCCGAGUUGUAAUUUGAAGAAGGUAACUUUGGAGUUGGCUCUUGUCUAUGUUCCUUGGAACAGGACGUCACAGAGGGUGAGAAUCCCGUGCGAUGAGAUGCCCAAUUCUAUGUAAAGUGCUUUCGAAGAGUCGAGUUGUUUGGGAAUGCAGCUCUAAGUGGGUGGUAAAUUCCAUCUAAAGCUAAAUAUUGGCGAGAGACCGAUAGCGAACAAGUACAGUGAUGGAAAGAUGAAAAGAACUUUGAAAAGAGAGUGAAAAAGUACGUGAAAUUGUUGAAAGGGAAGGGCUUGAGAUCAGACUUGGUAUUUUGCGAUCCUUUCCUUCUUGGUUGGGUUCCUCGCAGCUUACUGGGCCAGCAUCGGUUUGGAUGGUAGGAUAAUGACUAAAGAAUGUGGCUCUACUUCGGUGGAGUGUUAUCCCCAUGGUUGAUAAUUCCAGUCUAGACCUAGGGCCGCCUCUUUCGCCUGCCAAGGUGGUCCCCGGUGGGUCUCUUCCCCCCCUUAGGGGAACCAAAAAAAAAAAUAAAGGGAAAAAAGGGGAAACGACACACAGGAUGGGCGAUGCGGGGCGAGGGGUGUGGGUGAGCGGGGGGG